GGAGUCUGGACCGUCUCUCAGUUCCAAUGUGGCCGAUCACCCUCUCAGGUCGGCUACCGAUCGUCGCCUUGGUGGGCUGUUAUCUCACCAACUAGCUAAUCGGACGCGAGCCCAUCUUCAACCGGAUUGCUCCUUUGACCCCUGCACCAUGUGAUGCUGUGGUCUUACGCGGUAUUAGCACAUCUUUCGAUGCGUUAUCCCCCUGUUGAAGGCAGGUUGCUCACGCGUUACUCACCCGUCCGCCGCUGAAAUUAUCUCCGAGCAAGCUCUUCCAUAAUCUCCGCUCGACUUGCAUGUGUUAGGCACGCCGCCAGCGUUCGUC
rnacentral:rRNA from 1 species